UACGUAGGGUGCAAACGUUGUUCGGAAUCACUGGGCAUAAAGAGCGCGUAGGCGGUCUGAUAAGUCUUGUGUGAAAGCCCCCGGCUCAACCGGGGAAUUGCACUGGAUACUGUCGGGCUAGAGUACAGGAGGGGAGAGCGGAAUUCCUGGUGGAGCGGUGAAAUGCGUAGAUAUCGGGAGGAACAUCAGUGGCGAAGGCGGCCUUCUGGUCCAGUACUGACACUCAAGUGCGAAAGCGUGGGGAGCAAACAGG
rnacentral:rRNA from 1 species